CAGGAGGAGGGUUCUUAAAGCCAUGGUGGUUAUCUAGGAAGGAGACCAGGAGGUGGGUUCUUAAAGCCAUGGUGGUUAUCUAGGAAGGAGACCAGGAGGAGGGUUCUUAAAGCCAUGGUGGUUAUCUAGGAAGGAGACCAGGAGGAGGGUUCUUAAAGCCAUGGUGGUUAUCUAGGAAGGAGACCAGGAGGAGACCAGGAGGAGGGUUCUUAAAGCCAUGGUGGUUAUCUAGGAAGGAGACCAGGAGGAGGGUUCUUAAAGCCAUGGUGGUUAUCUAGGAAGGAGACCAGGAGGAGGGUUCUUAAAGCCAUGGUGGUUAUCUAGGAAGGAGACCAGGAGGAGACCAGGAGGAGGGUUCUUAAAGCCAUGGUGGUUAUCUAGGAAGGAGACCAGGAGGAGGGUUCUUAAAGCCAUGGUGGUUAUCUAGGAAGGAGACCAGGAGGUGGGUUCUUAAAGCCAUGGUGGUUAUCUAGGAAGGAGACCAAAAGGAGGGUUCUUAAAGCCAUGGUGGUUAUCUAGGGAAGAGACCAGGAGGAGGGUUCUUAAAUCCAUGGUGGUUAUCUAGGAAGGAGACCAGGAGGAGACCAGGAGGAGGGUUCUUAAAGCCAUGGUGGUUAUCUAGGAAGGAGACCAGGAGGAGGGUUCUUAAAGCCAUGGUGGUUAUCUAGGGAGGAGACCAGGAGGAGACCAGGAGGAGGGUUCUUAAAGCCAUGGUGGUUAUCUAGGAAGGAGACCAGGAGGAGGGUUCUUAAAGCCAUGGUGGUUAU